rnacentral:sRNA from 1 species
GCACCGCUGCCUUCUGCCCCCACCUUUUGUUUUGAGAUCUUGGUAAUGAAAGUGUAGCUAGUUGCUUAUUAAUUUCACUCUUAAAUAUUUUUCACAUUCACAGAUCGGGUGCUACCAAGGUUUUGCUUUUGCAUGGAAAUGUCUACUGCACAGUUGCACCACUGAGAAGGACAGCAGAAAGAUGAAGGUCUUAGAAUCAUUGAUUGGAAUGAUCCAGAAAUUCCCUUAUGAUGACCCUACUUAUGAUAAACUCCAUGAAGACUUAGACAAGAUCAGAGGAAAAUUUAAACAGUUUUGUUCGUUACUCAACGUUCAGCCAGACUUUAAAAUUAGUGCAGAAGGUUCCGGACUUUCAUUUUGAGGAGGAUGGAUGAACAGAGACCGAACGUCGAGAAACAGAUGUGUGUGUGACGUGUUUAGAAAUGCGGUGAAGGGCCAGACGGUGCUGGGAAGGCAGUUGUUCAGUGGGAGGGUGAGGGUUCCGGUUCGGCCGUGGGAGGGCUUCCUUCCCUGGGGUUUUCUGCCCGUGUCACCUUGGUGCCCGCCUUGGGGCCUCUCCACACACGCCCUUUGUUGGGCUGAAGCCAUCCCUGGCAGAGCCCUCGUGCAUUGACUUGACGGCCUCUCCAGCAGCACAGGCCUAGCUGGUUCUGGGUUGGGGUUGGCUCUGGAUAGGGUCAGUCACCAGGCCUGGACUGAAGGCAGUUGUUUUUAUUAUUAUUAUUAUUUUUUUUUGCAAUGAGAGAGAUGGUUGGCCCUGAAUGAGGCUCAUGGGAGGUUUGGACGGGUGCUGUGCCGCAUGUCGAGGCCGAUUGUGUGCCAGGCGCUGCGGGACGUGCCUCCC